AUACACGGUGCCUAUACCACGUGACUUUUUAAGAUCUGUGUGGGGACUAAAAUGUCAACAUAAGCGCGACGAAGGUAUGGCCCAAUGCUCCGAAUGCGGAAAAAUGUUGAAGACCAGAGCUGGAUUAUUGCGCCACAUUAGGAGAUACGCUAACUCUGGAAACUAUUACUGCUGUGGGAAAGCAUUUCAGAAGGCUUCAAAGAACGAAGAACCCCAUGAUGUGUGUACAGUGCGGCAGGAGCUUUUCGGACAAGUACCUACCUACCCGUGGCUCGAGAGAAAAGUGCAAAAAAAGAGGGAUUGUCGAACUGUUACCAGUGUGGGUUGGCAGUUAGAAUGAGGUUGACCUCAAAGAGCACGACAAGCCCCACAUGCCUGACAAGUAUUACAUAUCUGAGGAGUGUUUCAAACGUACAGUCGCAAAACAAACCUCUCUCGACACGUGAGCACUUCACAUAAAUCCGUGAAUACUGAUUAAUAAUCAUAAUAGUUUACAGUUUGUCUGUGUAACUUGAGUAUCGUUUUACGUUAUUUUAUUCGUUGUUUUAUUUUAACUCUCCCUUUCAAAAUUCUUUUAAAGUUAUCCGAAUUUGAUUAGUUUUUGUGUUUCGUUAAGUUCGUUUGUGUGUUUCUUUUGAAAUUAUUGUCAAAUAAUUGUGCAAUAAGUUAGAUUUACGUUAUUCAUUAAUGAAUCGCAUCUGUGAUUUGUAUUAUCUAAUCUGUGAUUCUUUAUUAACUAUAACUUGAUUAAAGUUUUGCGAUGUUUUUUCGUUUAUUUCAAUUUUAAAUACCGCUGUCUGAAGCUAGUUUGAUAAUCAUAAGCAGCCAGGGUUUCUAAAAAGUGGUGAUUUUCACGAUUGCUUUACAUUAUUAACUGCCUGCUUAUACUUAUUCUAGGCCGUGGUAAUUGACAAUAAACAAUGUAGGCGAUGAGGUUGAGUAUACAAUUCAAUACUCCUUAAUUUAUUCGAAAUACGUCUUGACAUUCUUCACAGCUGCAUCCCACCACAACACAAGAGGAGAAUCGUACAUAUAUAA